rnacentral:rRNA from 1 species
GUAGGUGGCAAGCGUUGUCCGGAAUUAUUGGGCGUAAAGCGCGCGCAGGCGGUCCUUUAAGUCUGAUGUGAAAGCCCACGGCUCAACCGUGGUGGGUCAUUGGAAACUGGGGGACUUGAGUACAGAAGAGGAAAGCGGAAUUCCAAGUGUAGCGGUGAAAUGCGUAGAGAUUUGGAGGAACACCAGUGGCGAAGGCGGCUUUCUGGUCUGUAACUGACGCUGAGGCGCGAAAGCGUGGGGAGCAAACAGGAUUAGAUACCCUGGUAGUCCACGCCGUAAACGAUGAGUGCUAAGUGUUAGGGGGUUUCCCGCCCCCUUAGUGCUGCAGCUAACGCAUUAAGCACUCCGCCUGGGGAGUACGGCCGCAAGGCUG